GGGGGAUAUUGCACAAUGGGGGAAACCCUGAUGCAGCGACGCCGCGUGGAGGAAGAAGGUUUUCGGAUUGUAAACUCCUGUCGUUAGGGACGAUAAUGACGGUACCUAACAAGAAAGCACCGGCUAACUACGUGCCAGCAGCCGCGGUAAAACGUAGGGUGCAAGCGUUGUCCGGAAUUACUGGGUGUAAAGGGAGCGCAGGCGGACCGGCAAGUUGGAAGUGAAAACUAUGGGCUCAACCCAUAAAUUGCUUUCAAAACUGCUGGCCUUGAGUAGUGCAGAGGUAGGUGGAAUUCCCGGUGUAGCGGUGGAAUGCGUAGAUAUCGGGAGGAACACCAGUGGCGAAGGCGACCUACUGGGCACCAACUGACGCUGAGGCUCGAAAGCAUGGGUAGCAAACAGGAUUAGAUACCCUGGUAGUCCAUGCCGUAAACGAUGAUUACUAGGUGUUGGAGGAUUGACCCCUUCAGUGCCGCAGUUAACACAAUAAGUAAUCCACCUGGGGAGUACGACCGCAAGGUUGAAACUCAAAGGAAUUGACGGGGGCCCGCACAAGCAGUGGAGUAUGUGGUUUAAUUCGAAGCAACGCGAAGAACCUUACCAGGUCUUGACAUCCGAUGCAUAGUGCAGAGAUGCAUGAAGUCCUUCGGGACAUCGAGACAGGUGGUGCAUGGUUGUCGUCAGCUCGUGUCGUGAGAUGUUGGGUUAAGUCCCGCAACGAGCGCAACCCUUAUGGUCAGUUACUACGCAAGAGGACUCUGGCCAGACUGCCGUUGACAAAACGGAGGAAGGUGGGGAUGACGUCAAAUCAUCAUGCCCUUUAUGACUUGGGCUACACACGUACUACAAUGGCGUUAAACAAAGAGAAGCAAGACCGCGAGGUGGAGCAAAACUCAGAAACAACGUCCCAGUUCGGACUGCAGGCUGCAACUCGCCUGCACGAAGUCGGAAUUGCUAGUAAUCGUGGAUCAGCAUGCCACGGUGAAUACGUUCCCG
rnacentral:rRNA from 1 species